UACAGAGGUCUCAAGCGUUGUUCGGAUUCAUUGGGCGUAAAGGGUGCGUAGGCGGCGCGGUAAGUCGGGUGUGAAAUCUCGGAGCUUAACUCCGAAACUGCAUUCGAUACUGCCGUGCUUGAGGACUGGAGAGGAGACUGGAAUUUACGGUGUAGCGGUGAAAUGCGUUGAUAUCGAUAGGAACUCCGGUGGCGAAGGCGGCAUACUGGACCACAUCUGACGCUGAGGCGCGAAAGCCAGGGGAGCAAACGGG
rnacentral:rRNA from 1 species